CUUUCGAUCUGAAAGCUCUACUGCAGAGAUUUCAGUUCACGGCUCAAGGCUACCAAGAGAAGUUUAGGAAAGCACGAGCAGCAGAUGGUGAAACUGGCAGACAGUUAGCAGCAAGAAUUGCCAGCUAUUUUGACCAUUGGAUAGACAUGGCAAACGUAUCGAAAACCUACGAAGAUCUAAGGGAUCACGUAAUCUCUGAGCAAUUCUUGCGUUGUUGCCAUCCAAAGCUGGUUGUUUUCUUGAAAGAGCGAGAGUGCAAGUCACUAGAUGAGCUCGCUAAUUUGACGGAUCGCUUCCUGGAGGCGCAGAAUUUGACUAAUCUAGGAAAAGGUCCCGACCCCGCGAAAGAGUCCGGUGGAAAGCCUACCGAAGCGUCGCGUAAACCGCAACUCAAGUGUAUCCUUUGCAAUCGUUUCGGACAUUUAGCUCCUGACUGCCGCAAUCCACCUAAGCAGAUGCUAAAGUGCAAGUUGUGCGGAAAAACGGGACACGUAACAGAAACCUGCCGAAACCAGCAUGGGGACCACAAACCGAGUUCGUCGUGCGCAUUUACUGAAUCCGAAUCUGCCCGGACUGCAGCUAGAAAAGCAUCCAAGCGUCCAGGAGGGAAGAUUCCUUGCGCAAGUCACCACGACGACGACAACUUGCAGGGUGCAGUACAUUUCCUGGUCGACGGGAUGCCAGUGGUCGGAGGUCUACUGCUAGGAAGAGAGGUUCGAGUACUACGCGAUACGGGAUGCAACACGGCAAUCGUCCGACGAGAGCUCGUUCCUGAUGUGUGCCUCACAGGCAAGAACAUCGGCGUCGUUCUCCUAGACGGAUCAACUAGCCAUCUCCCGGAAGCUGUUGUACAAGUCCACACGCCGUACUUCACAGGGAUGCUGAAAGUGGCUUGUAUGGAUCGACCCCUAUGGGCACCGUGCAUACGUUAGGAGCCGCCCCAGUCGCGCGCUGCCUCCAGCGCCGAAGCGGCCACGGCAGCAGAUUUGGCGGGAUAUGGGCGCAGAUGACGCAGGCAGCGGCAAGCCACUGAGCCGUUCUUUGGUGCUUCGCUUGAGGCGUCUUCUUUCCCUUUUACUUGCCAGACCUUGUGUGUCCUCAGGCGAACGCGGCAACAUAAAAUGUAUGAGCUGGGGGAAGCAACGUAGGUGACGAGCUCGUUGAGCGAAACUGCGCAUGCGCAACGCGGGCCGCCUCGCUCACUAAGCAAUCACAGCUUAUCACCCUCGGGC
rnacentral:lncRNA from 1 species